CGAGACUGUGUCAGACCCUGCCUGUUGUUCAAACUCGCCACACAUGGACCCUGCCCAAAAUUACCUUUUCCUAUUACAGUGGGCUAAACAAGCUCAGCCUCUGCACUUGAGAGGCAUCUUGGAGGGGCUCCAAGAGAUGCUGACUGGCCCUCUGCAUUGCUCCAGCAGCUUAUUUUCUGAUGCAGGAGAAUCUCUGCAGGACUGAACCCCAUUGUUGGACCCCAUGUGAUGAAGUGUAGUGACAGAUAUAAUGCCAUCCACCAGUCAUUAAAUACGAAUUCAGAUGUACAACCAACACAUACUUCUCAGAAGAUAUUGGUAUUUGGAAUGAAGCCGAGAGUUGGCUUGAAGCAAUGUUCUAUUCAUU